GACGAACGUUGGCGGCGUGCUUAAUACAUGCAAGUCAACUGAAACAGUGGUAGCAAUCUCGCUGUGGAGGUGGCGCACGGGUUAGUAACACUUAGGUAAUCUGCCUUCAGGUCUUGCAUAACGCCGGGAAACCGGGGCCAAUUGCAGGUGAUACAGCGGCUCGCCAUCGAGACAGUUGUUAAAGCUAUGUCUCCUGAACAUGAGCCUGCGGCUGAUUAGCUAGUUGUCGGGGUACCGGCCCAACAAGCCAUCGUUCAGUAGAUGGACUGAGAGGAUGAUCGGCAACACUGGAACUGAGCUACGGUCCAGACUCCGACGGGAGGCAGCAGUAAGGAAGAUUGCCCAAUGGGAGAUACCAUGACGAAGCAACGAGGGGGGAGGGACGAAGGUCUUUUGACUGUACACCUUUGUAGGGAGAGAAAAAAAUACAAAUCUUUGGGACAUGAUGGUAUCUGAAAAGUAAGCCCCGGCUAACUACGUG
rnacentral:rRNA from 1 species